rnacentral:rRNA from 1 species
UCGCGGCGGUGUGCGCAGAAGGGUCUGGGCUCGAGCCUGCCUGGAGCCGCCGCCGGUGCAGAUCUUGGUGGUAGUAGCAAAUACUCCAGCGAGGCCCUGGAGGACUGAUGUGGAGAAGGGUUUCGUGUGAACAGCCGUUGCACACGAGUCAGUCGAUCCUAAGCCCUAGGAGAAAUCCGAUACCAACGGCGAUGGGAAACUGAAACGAUAAAAAGUGAAAAAAGACUGUGGCCCAUUGAUCGGGCGAAAGGGAAUCCGGUUCCUAUUCCGGAACCCGGCAGCGGAACCGUUGUUUGUCGGGCCCUCACAAGGGGUUCGUCAGGGUAACCUAAAUGGGCCCGGAGACGCCGUCGGGAACCCGGGAAAGAGUUUUCUUUUCUGCAUGA